ensembl:lncRNA
GUGUUUUAUGGAGGAUUAGAGCUGAGAUCCUACAGCUGACAGUUCUGACUGAUUGGACGCCACACAGAUAGCAGGGCCUUUAAUGGAUCUGCACUGGGAGAAGCAGCACAGGGAGGGAGUGAAAGUAGCAGUUCCUCCUUAAGGUCAGAGAUUGCAGCAUCUGAGGGCCUCUUCAAAAGAAGACAUAGUUGAUGAAGGCGUUCUGGAGCAGGGCCAGAAAGACCACGACCAAGCAGCCUUGAGAUCUUAGGCAGCGUCUCCCUCAGACCAAAGAACUACAGACUCUUCACAACCUGCUCAAACUCUUGGUACAGGACCUCACCACACGGGUCAAGAAGGUUUCCAUCUCAUUUCUACUCUGAAGCUCACCUUCUCCUGCUCAAACUGCUGACAAAUGUUUCUGCUGCUGUAAGGUCUGGUAUCCAGAACUUCCUAAAAACUCUGAAAGUCUCUUCUGCUGCAGGUUGCUUUGUAGAACUGUUGCAGAAAACCUCACUAAACCACACGGAGGAGCCUCAAGAUAGUCGUCCAAAUGAAACCAUACAAAAACCAAACUAGCACAACCCAAACGCUAAAGUCUCCUGCAGCCUACCAGAGAACCUCUGAGAACAGAGAAUCAGGACAGGAACUCUUACCUUCU